AUACGUAGGGGGCGAGCGUUGUCCGGAAUGAUUGGGCGUAAAGGGCGCGUAGGCGGCGCGGUAAGUCUGGAGUGAAAGUCCUGCUUUCAAGGUGGGAAUUGCUUUGGAUACUGCCGCGCUUGAGUGCAGGAGAGGUUAUCGGAAUUCCCGGUGUAGCGGUGCAAUGCGUAGAGAUCGGGAGGAACACCAGUGGCGAAGGCGGGUAACUGGACUGCAACUGACGCUGAGGCGCGAAAGUGUGGGGAGCAAACAGGAUUAGAUACCCUGGUAGUCCACACUGUAAACGAUGAAUGCUAGGUGUAAGAGGUAUCGACCCCUUUUGUGCCGGAGUCAACACAAUAAGCAUUCCGCCUGGGGAGUACGGCCGCAAGGUUGAAACUCAAAGGAAUUGACGGGG
rnacentral:rRNA from 1 species